AACGUUGGCGUCUUUGCUCUUCAUCUUCCAGGGGUGAUACAGGCAUCCCUCAUCCCCUCUUUUAGCUGGACUGCUGGGAGGAAGGCGCAGCAGGAGCUCUGCACCUCAUCCUGGGCCUGACUCAGCAGUCUAGAAGUAGAUAGAUAAAUGGCAAGCAAAAAGCGUGAAAUCCAGCUACAGUCAGUCAUCAAUAGUCAGAACUGUGGGAUGAGAUGUUGCUGAACAAAGGCCUAACAGUGAUUGAUGUUUACCAAGCCUGGUGUGGACCUUGCAAAGCCGUGCAAGCUUUAUUCAGAAAACUGAAAAAUGAACUGAAUGAAGAUGAGAUUCUUCACUUCGCGGUUGCUGAAGCUGACAGCAUUGUGACUCUGCAACAUUUAGAGAUAAAUGUGAGCCUAUGUUUCUCUUUAGUCUUAAUGGUAAAAUUAUUGCAAAGAUUCGGGGUGCAAAUGCACCACUUAUCAAUAGAAAGGUCAUUGGCUUGAUAGAAGAAGAGAGGAAAGUUGUAGCAGGUGAAAUGGCUCGUCCUCAGUAUGUGGAAAUUCCACUAGUUGAUGAAUCUGAAGAAGAGCUGGGGGAAGGACAGUAUGAAAGUGUUGG